GAGACAAAGCUUCUGAGUCCAGAUGCACCACAGAGGAGAAAAACAAAACAAAAAGGAAAAAGAAUGAAUCCCCGGGAAGCAAUGCUGGCUCGUGACGAGAGGUGGGGUGGGUACAGCCAAGACCUCCGCAUAGAAGAAGCGCAGAGGAGGUGCUCUGGAGAUGUCUUCACACAUUUCCAGUGGGAGCAUGCACUGCAGUAGGCAAAGCUAACAGAUAGGAAGUUUGGAACAUGAUUUGAAGAAAGCGGUGGAAAAAAGAGGACAACUCUGUGAAGGAAAGCAGAAAAGACUGCUUCUGAGUGAUGAGUUUCCUACCACUCAAAGACAGACCAAGAAAAGAAUUCAUUCGUGAGAACAUGACAUUUGACAUGAAGACAAGACCACAUUCUUCUGAAGAUGAUACAAUCUGAGGACUAUGUGCCUGGUGCAUGGCUGGACAUUUUCUCCACAAACAGCAAAAAAUUGCUGUUUUACCUUCUAGAGAAAGAGUUACAGCAAAAUUUUGUAGGAUGAGGAUGAAGACUAAUAUUAACUGCUUUUAUGGUAACAUGCAGCCUAAGAGGAGUAUAACUGCUGGAAAAUUAGUAGAUAUAAGAUGAAUAUAUGACCUUAAGUCCUAAAGACAAAUUCUUGCCCAUUAUCACUUGGUCAUAUGAACUAUCUGGAGACAAGCAGUUGGAGCUCUGAGAUAGCUAAAAGCCUCCCCGAUGUCAUUCUUGUGCUUGACACUUUGCAAUGCACCUUCUCCCACUCUAUGUCUUAAGCCCACCUUGCAGGAUGCAACGAGGCAAAAGUGCCCUCUUCUUCAUUACACCCUUCCUCCGCUUACGGGAUGGGAAAAACCCCUUCAUUCCCCUUGUCUGGGAAAAGAGGGCAAGAUUUACCCCAUAGAAGGAAAGCUUUAUGGAGUCUUUUUUUCUCUGCCUGCUUUUUUUAAUUGAAUGCUAAGAGUGAUUUCUCUAAGAAUGCAGAGAGCAACCUGUCUGGAAUACCAAAAAAAGGCACCUUGUUAAUUAACCAAGCAAUCGUCAACUUGAUUGAAUCUCUUUAAAGUUUUCCAGUGACUAUGUGCACACCGUAUGCAAAGAGACUAGUAAUGUGGGAAUGCCAGUGUUGGCAGUAAGGUCAGCUUCUUGAUCAAUAAUAACUCAGCCUGAGCAGACAUUUAAUCUAAAAGAAAGAGGUCAUCUCCAAUCAGGUCCUUUAAAGAGAUCAACCAACAAAAUCUAAUCACUGAUUACUGAAUAUUUAGUCAAGCAGUGACCUUGCUUACUAUUGUUUAAUCAUACAUUAUUAGCUAAUUCCUCCAUUCAGCUCCAGCUUGUGAAUUAGAUUUUGUCCUGAUUAAUAUUACAACUGUUAAAGAAGAAAGACAUUACAGUUUAUGUGACACUGACUUCAUAGGCCAUGGCCAGCAAAAGCAAAUCCAAAACCUUUCUGCAAGGCUGAAUCUUUCUGUCUCCAUAUCAUUCCUAACAAAUGUUUCUUCAGCCUGUUCUUAAGGACCUCUAAUGACUGACAAUCCACAGCUUCACAGCAUAGCAGAACGUUGUAACAUAUCUUUAUCUCAUGCGCUGGGGGAAAGUAAGGAAGGAAUAUGUCCUUUCAUAGGUAUGUUGAAGCAGAGCAUCUCGCUACUGUCAUCAGUGUUAAUGAUGAACAGAUUGCAGUCCCACUAGAAGUCAGGUAAAAUACUAGAAAUCGUACAUUCACAUAGUGUUUGUAUUAUUGAUAUCUUGUUUAAUUUUUAAGAGCCCAGUGUAAGGGGACCAGUUCAUGCUGGGUAGCAGUAAAACAGCCAGCAGGCUGAAUAACAAUGAAGGGGAAAUAGUCUUCAGCUCCAAUAUCACCUUGCUGUUAUGAGGUGACUUACCUCCCUCAAUCCUGACAGAGCAGGGGUGAUUAGGGAUAGGAAAUCACUUUAAGUUUCCCAAACAUUGUCUCCAGAAGAAACCAUUGAGAACAUUUGUGUCUGUAUGCCUGGAGCUAAUGAAGUUGCAAGUCAUUCAGGCUGCAUCUGUAUUGGAAAAAAAAUGCCAAAACAAAAAAAAAAACCCACAUCCAGACUUGGGAUAUCUAUACUCUAUUGGCUCACAGAGGGAGAGGGCGUUUUAAGGCCAACGUUACAUCCAGGAUUGUGAAAAUAGGAUUUUGGUGUGAAUGUUAAAUCUCCAGCUCUAGCAUCCAGGAUGUGUGUUAGGUGUUGACCUGCAAUAAAACUACCUGUUUUUUUAAUUUAGGCUAGAAUUGUGCUCUGUAGUUCACUUUCUUGUGCCCCAUGCGUUCCAAAAUGCAUAAAAGCAUGAUACAGAAAUCAUAGCUUUGGUUCAUCUUUAAGCCUAUGAGGAGGUGGAAACCUGGGCUGCUCUACUCCCUGAAAGCAGUAAAUCUGCACAAAACAUCCCUCCUGUGGGCUGUGUUUUGGCAACCCCGGCUGCCUCACCCGCACAAGGACAAGUGGCCUGUUCUCCAUCAAGCACCAAAAAGAUACAGAGAUGCUUUUACUCUUCGCCAAGUUUUGGAAGGAGUUACCUCAGCAGACCCAGACCAGUGGUUCCCCUGGCUAAGCACGGACAAUUGAGAGCAGACACCGAAAUGUCACGGCAUCUCAGCAGGGUGAACACCGGCGGCUCCUGACUGUGCUCGUCCCUUGAGAUCCCGUUGGUGAGCUGUACCUGACAUCGUACCUGCGCCAGACCCCCCGGUGUGAAACACGCACGCGGCGGCUGUGUGCCAAGCCUGUUCAGAGGCUAUUGUGCCAGGACCAGAUUCGGUGCUCGUCUGUAGCGGGAGGCUCUGUAUGCUUUUCAUGUUCUUACAGGGGAAUCUUCUUUCCUGCCAGCUUCACCUGCACUUGCUUAUUUCUUACACACUAUGCUAACACUUGCUUAUGGCACUCUGAGCCCAAAAAUGCAUUUGUAUUUUUUUUCUGAGCAUAUCGACUGUUCUCACCAGAUAUGCUGCCUAACUCUGCGUGCUUUGCCUCUGUGUCCUUUGACCAUCUCAGUUACAAUAGUGCCUUACUGAUGUCGGCUUCCUCUUAAGGGCAGUACUGACCCAUUUCAUGUCUUAAAAUUCAGCAGUGAUCCAUGAAAUGCUGCACCAGG